GGGGCGCCCCACUCUCUCUAAAAACCUCUCUCCCCU
rnacentral:scRNA from 1 species